rnacentral:rRNA from 1 species
UACGGAGGGUGCAAGCGUUGCUCGGAAUUACUGGGCGUAAAGGGCGUGUAGGCGGUUUCGUAUGUCUGGCGUGAAAGCCCCGGGCUCACCUCGGGAAGUGCGUCGGAAACUGCGAGACUAGAGUCCCGGAGAGGGAGGUGGAAUUCCAGGUGUAGCGGUGAAAUGCGUAGAUAUCGGGAGGAACACCAGUGGCGAAGGCGGCUUCCUGGCCUGUUCUUGACGCUGAGGCGCGAAAGCUAGGGGAGCAAACGGG